GCAAGUCGAACGAGGAUAUAUUGAAGCUUGCUUCGAUAUAAGCCGAGUGGCGGACGGGUGAGUAACACGUAAGUAACCUGCCUUUUAGUUGGGGAUAACUUUCCGAAAGGGAAGCUAAUACCGAAUACGAUCAUAUCUUCGCAUGAAGAGAUGAGGAAAGACUUCGGUCGCUAAAAGAUGGGCUUGCGGAUGAUUAGUUUGUUGGUGGGGUAAUGGCCUACCAAGACUACGAUCAUUAGCUGGUCUGAGAGGAUGAGC
rnacentral:rRNA from 1 species